CGGACGGCUGAGUAACACGUAGGAACGUACCCCGAAGUGAGGGAUAAGCACCAGAAAUGGUGUCUAAUACCGCAUGUGAUCCACGGAUUAAAGCUUUAUGCGCUUCGGGAACGGCCUGCGUAUGAUUAGUUUGUUGGUGAGGUAAUGGCUCACCAAGACUUCGAUCAUUAGCUGGUCUGAGAGGAUGAUCAGCCAGACUGGGACUGAGACACGGCCCAG
rnacentral:rRNA from 1 species